AUCUUGUCAUCGAAUAUAUAAAUUAGGCUAAAAUACAUAAAAUCCUCCUGUCAAAAUUUAAUUUUUUAUUUUCCCUCUUGUCAUUUAAAAAUCAACACUUUGCCCCAUUGUAAACUGAAAAAUAUUCACUUCACCUCUUCACUACAACAGAAUUAAGUUAUAGGGACAUAUAUUUGGGACACUUUUGUAUAAAUCUCUUAUUUAUACCAAAACUUAAAAAAAUAUCUACUAAUGUCUAAAUAUAAAGGCUAAUCCAACCAAAAAUAAAAGGUUACUCUAUUCAACCCACCCCAUCCAGCCCAUUCGGCCAGAUCACAAACAGAAAAGAAACAGAAAAAAAAAUCGUCGACUACCAUCUCCCCUUCUCCUCUCACUCAAUCCACUGAAAUGCUAGGCGUAGAGCCCUUUCCUCUUGUCCUCCUCUGCCGUCGCAGCCAACGUGGUAGAGUUUCGACGGUUGCUAAAUGCUUAAAUAAGUGUUGGUAAAUUAGCAGCACUCUUAUUAGAUUAUAGCGACACUCUUUAACUGUCACUAUAUACCUAGUGACUCCACAUAUAGCAAAACUUUUUAAAAGUGUCGGUAAUUUAGUCAGCAGCACUUUUUUUUGACAUGUACCAACAUUUAAAAGUGUCGCUAUAGAUCGUUGUUGUUGUAGUGCUUACCUUUAGUAAUCAGUUAGGGCUCCGUUUAUAAAACAUUAUUAUAUAUUUUUUUAUGCCAAAAAUGUUCUCAGUCUUAUCUUUUGUGAAUAUUGUGAGGGGCAAAAUGAUGAAGGGCAAAAUGAUCAUUUUGUCAUCACAGUUUACACCAUAUCCCUCUGUGAAUAUUUUUUAUUUUAUAAGGGGGUAAAGUGUAGGUUUUUAAAUGACGUUGGGGGGGAGGGGGGAGUGAAAAAUCGAGUUUUGAUAGAAAUUUUUUUUGUAAUUUAGCCUAUAAAUUAAGAAAGUUUAUAAAUAUAUGUUUUAAUUAUAUGUAAUGAAGUUAAAUAUUUU
rnacentral:lncRNA from 1 species